rnacentral:rRNA from 1 species
CAGCCGCCACGGGAAUACGUAGGGUGCAAGCGUUAAUCGGAAUUACUGGGCGUAAAGCGUGCGCAGGCGGUUAUAUAAGACAGAUGUGAAAUCCCCGGGCUCAACCUGGGAACUGCAUUUGUGACUGUAUAGCUAGAGUACGGCAGAGGGGGAUGGAAUUCCGCGUGUAGCAGUGAAAUGCGUAGAUAUGCGGAGGAACACCGAUGGCGAAGGCAAUCCCCUGGGCCUGUACUGACGCUCAUGCACGAAAGCGUGGGGAGCAAACAGGAUUAGAGACCCCAGUAGUCCCUGUCUCUUAUAC